AUAUUUACCUGGCAGGGGAGAUGCCAUUGUCACCCAAGUGGUUUUCCCAGGGUGAGGCUUCACCAUUGUACCCCAAAUACACAGACCCCUGCAAUUUCCCAAAAUAUGAGACAAUCUAAUGCACAAUUUGUGAUAGUGGGGGGCAGCAUUGGCUCAUUCUCCUA